ensembl:lncRNA PCED1B-AS1 PCED1B antisense RNA 1
AAUGACCGAAGCUUCAAGACUUUGACAUGUGUGAAAACAUGAAAUGACCCUUGGCUCUUAUUGUUCUUGCUGGUGUGGUAUGUUCACGGCUGAAAAGAUGGUCAGAAGGGGAAAGGAGGAAGUGAGAAGAAAGAAACAGGGAAAUGACAGAGUGUUGCUCAGUUACCCAGGCUGGAGUGCAAUGGCAUGAUCUUGGCUCACUGCAGCCUCCACCUCCUGGGUUCAAGCGGUUCUCGUGCCUCAGUCUCCCAAGUAGCUGGGAUUACAGGCUGGAGUGCGAUGGCAUGAUCUUGGCUCACGGCAAACUCCGCCUCCCUGGUUCAAGUGAUUCUCCUGCCUCAGCCUCCCGAGUAGCCGGGAUUACAGGCAUGUGCCACCAUGCCCCGUUGGCCAGGCUGGUCUCGAACACCUUACCUCAGGUGAUCCUCCCACCUUUGGGAUUACAGGUGAGCCCAGCCUAUUG